CAUGUAUGCAUGUAUGCAUGUAUAUGUAUGUAUGUAUGCAUGUAUAUGUAUGUAUGUAUGCAUGUAUAUGCAUACAUACAUACAUAUACAUGCAUACAUACAUAUAAA